ensembl:lncRNA
UAUAUAUAUAUAUAUAUAUAGGAUAUAAAAAGAUAUAAAAAGAUAUAAACCACAAGUUCCAUAAUUAACAAUUCAGUUUCAAUGGCAAGCCUAGAAAUGAAGUUGGAUUCAGGUAUGCUUGUAAAAUGGCUGCCAACAUUAGGCUGGAAUUUCUGCUGCCAAAAGUGGAGCCAUUGCAACCAAGCAGACGCCGCUAUAAUUAUAUUUUAUUUUGGGGCUACAUUUGCUAUGACCAGAUGUCCUUGUAAAAGGCAUUUGACUGUGAUUACAGUAGGUAAAGUGUAGACAAUAUAAUAGACUAAUUUAUUAGACUUUUUAUAAUCACAGCAAAACUGUGUACUCGUGGGUGGGAUGCUUCCUCAAGUCCACAGUAUUGCAGACCUGCUGUAAUAGAAAUUUUCCUGACAGUAUUAAUCUGGGAGGCUUUUAGAUAUUUUGAGAAGUAUAUGAAGAGAAAUGGAAAGGGACGACUUCUAAAACUCUUUGUAGAUGCACAAUUAAUUUUGGAAUUACUUUGCUUUUAGAUGCCUGAGGCGAAUUUUAACAAAUCAGAUGGCUACUUGCUUAUAGAUAGAUGUUAAAUCCUGAAGGGUGUUUUAGAGGGAAUUAUUGGUCAUGUGAUGGUGAAGGUAGUGAUUGCAUAUUUACAAAGUCUGGGCAAAUAGGUUGAUUAUUCCACCCAGUCCGUAUUCUGUUUUAAUUUGAAUGAGCAGUAAUUGAAUGGUAGGCUGCUUGGAGAAUAUUAACUACAUUAUACAUAGCUAAUUAUCUAAUUACCUUAGCAUGUGAGAGAAUGGAGAGGAAAAAAAAGUCAUAAGAAAUUGGCAUGGACAUGGCAAAUGGCAGGAGAUGCAAGCAGACUUAUAUAAUACAAUGACCUCUAAAGGUAUUUGAACUGUCAAAUUCAAAAUUGCUUUUCUGUUGUUUAUUCAAGCAGCUUGGAACUGCAACAGUAAAUCAAGUAUGAAGCAAAAGUAAAGAAUGUCACCUUUUAUUUCUUUGUGGUUAUUGGUCAGAUGUAUACUGUUGAAGUGUGUCUGUCUAACAGUGUGUCUGUCUAACAGUGUGUCUGUCUAACAGUGUGUCUGUCUAACAGUGUGUCUGUCUAACAGUGUGUCUGUCUAACAGUGUGUCUGUCUAACAGUGUGUCUGUCUAACAGUGCUUUAUACAGGGUGCAAUUUAGCUUCAGUCUUCAUUUUGGUGUCUGCCUUUUGGAGUCUAUAGACCUACAGUAAAAUAAGAUAAAAAGUACAUAAUUGUCUAUGAAAAGGAAGGAAGAUAUUCAGGGGGUAAAUGAAAAUACUGGUUCAUUAGCAAAAAGACAGAAGUUCACAGCAAAUUUAAGAUGAAUUAAAAACAUGGAAUAAUACAGUCAUCAAGGACAAAGAUUAAUACAAGCAGAGAUGAAAUGAUCCAGCUGAGCUUAUAAUACUGGUCAAUGGCUUACAUUCUUGAAUCAUCAUAAAGGGUUCUUCGGUUUCCUUAAAGUCUUUAUGUAGAACUUUACAGCAGAAGGUUUUACAUUUAUAAAAGAUUACACUUCGAAAAAGGAUGGUUAAUAAUAAUAUAUUAACCAUAUUUGAAUAACAAGACUUUUACAAGACUACAUGUCACAAACGUUUCCUCUUUAUAAUCUGAGUGACUGCUUCUCCCACAUGCUACUUAAGCAUCAACUGUUGCCCUGGUCUUAUUUAUUCAGGGUUUGGACUGCACUGUAAAAUGCAAACCCCUCCUUAGCAUUACAUGUCAACAAAUCAAUUUGCACAGAUUACACAGUAUUACACAGAUUACAAAGUAUUAUAGAAAUUAUACAGAGUAGCAGUGUAUUUACUGUACAGGGCAGGCCAGGAAGGGGGGCCUCAGGCAUUAAGGGAGGCAGCUCCGAUAUCACUUAAAUCUGUAGAAAUCGAUGUCAAAUGUGAUAAUGAGGGACACACUCUAAAACCAGUACAUCAUCACUUCAGGAAAUCCCACUAAAUGGUCACCACCAAUUCAUUAGAAUGCCAGUGAGUUUGAUUAAAUGAAUGCAGGUAUGGUGCUGUCAAACUGAAAGUGACUAUAACCAUCAAAAAAAGAAAGAGGAAGCAGAGGAGGAUUCAGGACCGCAUUAAGUGGUUAAUAUAAUGACACAUGAUGUUUGGCAGCUUGGCAGAAUUUGUUAUUUUCCUAGAAAUAUCAUCAUUUGUAUUUUCUGUCAGCUUUUUAGGCCAUAUACAGUGUGAUAGGGAAAAUUGCUGACAGAAUAUACACUAUAUGGCCACAAGUAUGUUAACACCUGACUGUCACACCCAUAUGUGGCCUUUCCCCAAACUGUUGCCACAAAGUUUGAAGCACACAAUUGUAUAGAAUGUCUUUGUAUGCUGUAGUAUUACAGUUUCCCUUCACUGGAGCUAAGAGACCCAAACCUGUUCCAGCAUGACAAUGCCUCUGUACACAAAGUGAGUCUUGACCUCAAACCCUCUGGGAUAAACUGGAAUGCUAACUGCACCCCAGGCCUGCUCGCACAACAUCAGUGGCCGACCUCACUAAUGCUCUUGUGAUGGACAAAUCCCCACAGUCAUGCUCCCAAAUCUAGUGGAAAGCCUUCCCAGAAGAGUGGAGGUUAAUUAAAACAGCAGCGUGGGACUACAUCUGGAAUCGGAUGUUCAAAAGGCAUAAAGAGGAUUGAUGGUCAGGAGUCCUCAGUCUUUUGGUCAAAUGGUAUAGCAUAGCAUAGGACACAGGUUCCAAAUCCUGGCUCUGGAGUAUACCAUCCUGCACAUUUUGGUGUUUUCCCAGCUUUAACGCAUCCACUUCAACUCAUGAAGAGCUGUUAAUUAGCUGAUUAAUUGGAUCAAGUGUGUUGGGAGCAGGUAAAUGCUAUUAUAUGUAGGACAUUUGACCAUGGGGUUUAUGUGAAGUAUGGCAACACAACACAAUGGCAUUGUAGUCUGCAUAUUCUGAGAUGGAAGUUCCAUCCAGCCAUCCAUUUUCCAUACUGUUUAUCCUACACAGGGGUGCGGGGAACCUGGAAACUAUUCCAGGGAACUUUGGGCACACAGCAGGGGACACCCUGGACGAGGUGCCAGCCCAUCUCAGGGCGCAAUCGCACUCCCAUUGAGAUGGAAGUUAGUACAGUUAAUACAAAACAACAUCGCUACAGACCAUGAGAACUUAUUGCAGCAAAACACAAACACAAAGAAGUGUUGUUAAAGGUCUGUACAUAUGAUUAAAAUACAUAAUUACUUGACAUAACUAUUUUGAUGGUUUAUGGAUAAUGUAAUGAUUAUUUAGGUUGUUGAUAAAAGAUGAAAACAUAAUUCCAAAAUAUUAUUAGCAGAACAGAAUAGGCUGUUUUAAUAAAACAGAUUAUGUUUAAUAAUGCCCAGUUGCAAAUUGUGACUGAAUAAAUUAAUGUUCAGUCUGCCUUUGUAAAAUUACUGAGGCAAAAACAAAUGUACAAACUAUCAAUCUAUUGUGAAGGUUAACACACUUCUGUCAUUUCACUUGUAUAUUCUUGAAUCUCCCCCAUGCUGAAGAAUGACUAAGGAAAGUUGGCCUCUGAGUCUCCUCAUAUGCAUACCCCAGUGAAACAAGAAUUCAUGGAUGGCCACUUAAGUGUUCCUAAAUCCUCAGGUUAGCACGUUU